CGCUGGAGGCAGCCAUCUUGGCCGGCUGGCCGCAGUCACGUGACCGCGCUCCCCUGGCGUGCAGUGCGCAGCCGUAUAGCGAGCCCCCGAGGUGGGCGGGGAGAAGGCCGGGGAGGGCGUGGUUUCCUAAGGGGCGGCCCGCAGAGCCCGCGGAGAGUCCCUGAGAUCCAAGAAUUAGUUGAAUGAAGUCAGACCCGCCGGAGAUUCUUCUGAAAGUAACAUCAUGAUGAUUACCCAGGGAGAACCCCAGGUUCAGUUCUAGCUUGUGUUGGUUGGCGAUGAUGGGACUGGGAAUACUCCAUUGGUGAAACUCGUCUGGUGAGUUUGAGAUGGAGCCACCUUGGGUGUUGAAGUCCAUCCCCUCCUGUUUCACACCAAAAGAGGGCACAAUAAGUUCCAUGUGUGGGGUACACGGGGCCAGGAGAAGUUCAGCGGACCGAGACAACUAUUACAUCCAAGCCCAGGGUGUAGUUAUAAUGUCUGAUAUAACUUCGAGAGGUACUUAAAAGAAGUUGCCUACCUGGCAUAGAGAUCUGGUACAAGUGUGUGUGAAAACAUCCCUAUCCUGUUGUGUGGC